UAUAGGUUUGGUCCCAGCCUUCCUGUUAACUUUCAAUAGACUUAUACAUGCAAGCAUCCACGCCCCGGUGAGUAACGCCCUUCGAAUCACACAGGACUAAAAGGAGCAGGUAUCAAGCACACACUCUUGUAGCUCACAACGCCUUGCUUAACCACACCCCCACGGGAGACAGCAGUAACAAAAAUUAAGCCAUAAACGAAAGUUUGACUAAGCCAUAUUGACUAGGGUUGGUAAAUCUCGUGCCAGCCACCGCGGUCAUACGAUUGACCCAAGCUAACAGGAGUACGGCGAAAAGCGUGUUAAAGCAUCAUACUAAAUAGAGUUAAAUUUUAAUUAAACUGUAAAAAGCCAUAAUUAUAACAAAAAUAAAUGACGAAAGUAACCCUACAAUAGCUGAUACACAAUAGCUAAGACCCAAACUGGGAUUAGAUACCCCACUAUGCUUAGCCCUAAACACAAAUAAUUAU
rnacentral:rRNA from 1 species